UAACAAAUGUUACUAUUUUUCCAAAUUUUUUUUGUUUGUAAAACUAUUUAUUAAAAUUAUUUUCAUAAAUAUUAAAGGGUAUUAUAGGAAAAUAUGACACAAAAUAUAGAUUAGUCUAAAGGGACAUAGUUACUAUUUUUUUGCUCUAAAAAAACAGUUUUCCCAAAUUUAAAAGGCUCUUCUUAUGUUGACUUCAUGUUCGUAAGACUUGCUAUUUUACAUAAUUAGUCAUUGGUAACGAAAAAAAGGUUUUUCUGCCUAAAAUGAAUCUGCAUAAGUGGAUUAUUGCAUUUAGUUCACAUUAUAACAUUUAUAAUCAACAUAUACGAGAUGUGUAUAUUCGAUCAGAUCUCAUAAAAAAGCAUUGUUUAAAAAAAUGUCCUCCCAAGAUUAAGAUAUUUUGGAGCAUAUACUGAUUGGUUAGCACCUGAAGUCCAAAAUACAAAUUGUUCAAGCUACGAUUUAGCUUUACUCAAAAACAAUUGAUGAAUCAAAUAUAUACGAAUAGCAGAUAUAGAACUUCAAUUGGUUUCACAUGUUGCACAGUACCAUUGGAUCUAACAAUUAGAGAUCUACAACAUAAUCUGGAUAAUCUUUUUGAGAAGACAUGUAAGAAUACGCAAGAGCCGGGACUUUGUUGCUUUUAAGAACAAAAGACCCGACUUGGAUUCACCCAUGGAGGAAACAAUAUUAUUGAUUCAAUCUAACGCAUCUCUAGUUAGAUUUCCACGAACUCAGAAAUUCAAUUUCAUCCUCCCGUUCACCCCAUAUCCUUCAAUGAAACCACAGAAUAAGUUACUUCGGAAUGAAAUCGAACAGAACCAGAGAGAAAGACAUAAUCAAUACCUGUAGAUCUUCCAACCAUGGCUUCAAAACAAAAAUCACCGAGCCAAAGUCCUUCCCAAUCAUGGAAGCCGAAGAUGUCUCCAAAUAGGAUUGUGGAAAUGAUUUUUAUACAUUCGCGGAGACUGGAGAGAAAUCAUCAAUAAAUGAAAGGAUUAGUGGUAAAAAUCUGAAACGUUGAAGACGCGUUUUCGGAGACGGUGUGAUCUGAAGAGGCAUGGCCAUCUCCAACAUCGAGAAGGAAUAACAUGACGAUGUGGCUUCUCUAUUGAGUAUAUUCACCUUUUAGUAUUGUUAGAUACUGUUUUCUUCUCUCUUGUGCAGCCAUCUCAGCAGACAGGUCAGAAAGUCGUGCUCUAUGACGUUGACAUGUGUCCGGUUGGUUCAAAACGCUGCACUUCAUUUAGUUUGAAAAUCCGAUGAGCUUUUAACUGAGCUUCUCAUAGAUCUCUGAAACGGUUCGAAUUUGAGGUCUUCAAUGCGUUGGUGUGUUUUCAGGAGCUGCCUCCGCCUGAUUAAAGUGGAAGGCUAUAUUUGGUAUCGGAAUAGUUGGGUAUGGCAAGCUUACGGCACUGAUGCGCAGCAAUGCGGCGGUGAUGCUUAACGCAUGUUAGAUGCGUGUCCUGGUGAUGUGGACUCAAGAAGAUCAUUCAUCAAACGUGGAAGGUUUCUGGAUGCAUCUCCAAUUUGGGCUGUAUUUUGUUUAAAUUUUUUGGGCUUCUCCUUUAUUGUAAAUUCAAAAUCUGAUACCAAAUGUGGUAACUCCCAAGAAUUAGUCUUCCCAAUAGGAUAGAAUCAAUGAAAAUUUAGUUGACAAAAAAAUAAAAUAGUAAAUUCAUUUUAUACAAAACUAAAACAAUGUGUUGGCCAACAAAACGCUGUAAAGAGUAAAAACAAAAUAUAUAAAGAAUAUCUAUACUAUUAAAAGGGAAUCACUCCUAAAAAAUCUACUUAAACAAGGUUGUUGGACCAUUUUAUUAGACUUAACUAUUUAUUUGGUCUUAACUUAUAUUUCUCUAACUAUAUAAAUACUUUACAUAAUUUAUAUGAAUUCAUUUAUUAUUUUCUCAUAAUCUAUUAUAUAAUUACUCUAACAAUAAAUCUAUAUGAAUAUAUGAUAGAUUAUUCAAAUGUGAUCAUUACCACAUAUAAUUCUAUUAAUAGUAUAAAUUUUUAAUGAUUUAGUUAUGUUUAAUAGGUAUAUAAUUUAUAUUUUAAAAUUUUAAGUACUCAUUUGGUCCUUACUUUUGUUUCUAUUUUUUCUAUGCUCGAUUAUUUAUGAAAUUCAGCUUAAUUUUGAGUUUUUUUCCCAGUUUGGUACGGUUCAGUGCACUCAGUUAAAUGUACUCAAACCUAUAUAUUAUCUCUUAUAUAAAAGGAAUUUAUUUAAUUUCAAAAAUAAAUCCGCGCUUUCUAAGCACGGGUCAAAAUCUAGUAUGUAUAUUAAUCCAUUAUAUUUUGUUGCGUCUUUGGCAGAUACUAUUAAACUUACGAUAAAAUAAAUAAAACAAGAAAAAAUAGAUAAAUAUCUAUAAAAACCAUAUGAUACAAAAAAAAAUAACAAUUAGAACAUCCAUGUGGCCCGUCAAACAUGACGGCAUACCUCCAAAAAACACAUUAUUGUAGAACCCUUCAAACAAAUCUAAAUCUUUUUUGUCACUAUUUUUAAAACAAAUAAACUCUAUACUCCGAGCAAUGUAACUUAUUGUUUCAUCUACUAUGUAUUUAAAGUAGUAGAAUAAUUUUUAGAAUCUUAAAAAAUAUUAGUUUAUUUAAACAUAUAUUAUGCAUUUUAUUAAAUUAACUAUCAAAUUGAUUAAUAGUGUAUAAAAAUAAUUUUUUAUUAAGAAAAAAUACUACAAAAUUACCUAAAAUAAUUAAUAUAUAUGACAAUUAAUUAUGACGGUCAAGUUUGCGCCUGUUCCCACUUUCCAUGUGUUUGCGGAAAUAUGACGUGGUCUUGGCCUGAUUUAUGAAUGAACUGUUACAAAAAAAAAUGACAAUUAAUUAUUUUAUUAAUAAAGAUUUGAUAACAAUUUUGUAUUUUCCAUCCUUUUAGCUUAAUUUUAUAUUAUAAAAAUACUAUAUAAUAUGAAUUUAGUUUUUUUAUAUUUUAUAUUUGAAUUUUUUAAAAUGAAUAUAAAUUGCUAAAAUUAUUAAAAAAUCCUAUCUUGAAAAUAAUGUGAACAGUGAUUUACUAAAUCAACCGCGACUAUAAUUACAAGUUCAGACAAAAUAAAUAACUCCAAAGAUUAGAAAAAGAUCAACUUAAACUCGUCAACAACAAUAAAAAUAAACCCCAACAAUUGAGUUGUGCGUGGAAGCAUAUUUCAAAAUACAAAAAAAAAAAAAAAAAAUUGGUCUUUUCUUUUCAAAAUAAAAG